CAUACUUUGAUUAUUGGUGUAUAAAAAAUAAAACUGAAUAGAUUUUUAUAUUGUAUAAGGGAAGCUGAUGUAAAUUCAGCGCAGCCCCGCUGCUGUAAUAGGAACGAAAUCUGCGAUAAGCCAUUUUUCCGAUUCUUCGGGAUGAGAAGGCGCAAAGAGUAGGAAGCCUUAAGCCAGAAAACCUUACGAUAUAUUAGGAUAUAU
rfam:Omnitrophica bacterium GWA2_41_15 gwa2_scaffold_261, whole genome shotgun sequence.